UACGAAGGGGGCUAGCGUUGUUCGGAAUCACUGGGCGUAAAGCGCACGUAGGCGGACCUUUAAGUCAGGGGUGAAAUGCCAAGGCUCAACCUUGGAACUGCCUUUGAUACUGGAGAUCUUGAGUCCGGGAGAGGUGAGUGGAACUGCGAGUGUAGAGGUGAAAUUCGUAGAUAUUCGCAAGAACACCAGUGGCGAAGGCGGCUCACUGGCCCGGAACUGACGCUGAGACGCGAAAGCGUGGGGAGCAAACAGG
rnacentral:rRNA from 1 species